CGGCACCUUAGAGCCAUUGGCCAUCCUUGAGCUUGAAUAGGACAAAGCCAACUUUUGUAAUCUCUUCAAUAAUAUAAUCCGUUGUCAAGUAGAUCACGUUGCAAAAAGAAAAGAAAAGAGAGCAGAACCUGGAGCACUGGACGUUUGAAGCUGAGAUGAGAAAAUGAGAGAAAGUGGGUUUGUGGGCAAAAGUCUUCAGCUGGGUAGGUGAGGCGUAUGAAUGAGGGUUGGUGGGUGGGUAUUUUGGUAAAAUACCAAUCAUGCCUGUUUCCCCUCACUGAUUUUCCUCCCGAUUUGGGAGGAAAAAUUUUGUGGGCCCGGGAGAGAAAAGUUUCUCCCGGUUUUCCACUCCUCUGAUUUUCCUUCCAUUCCCAAACGGUGGAAAACUGAGUUUUCCACCCCAUUUUCCCUCCUAUAUUUUCCAUCCUCCCUAUAUUCCACCCAUCCAAACACAGCCU